GCAGUAUUUUGACUGUGCAAAGGUAGCAUAAUCAUUAGUCUUUUAAUUGAGGGCUGGUAUGAAUGGUUGGACGAGGUAAAAACUGUUUUAUAAUAAUUUUUAUUGAAUUUAGAUUUUAAGUAAAAAGACUUAAAUGUUAUUAAAGGACGAGAAGACCCUAUAGAGUUUAAUAAUCAUAAGUUUUAAUUAAGUUAUAAAUAGAUUUUUAAUUAUAUGUAAAGUUUAUUUGGUUGGGGUGAUUAGAAGAUAUGAAGAACUCUUCUUUAAAUUAAAUAAUAUUAGUAGAUAAUUGAUCCAUUAAUAGUGAUUGUAAGAUUAAAUUACCUUAGGGAUA
rnacentral:rRNA from 1 species